CCUACGGGUGGCAGCAGUGGGGAAUAUUGGACAAUGGGCGAAAGCCUGAUCCAGCCAUGCCGCGUGUGUGAAGAAGGCCUUCGGGUUGUAAAGCACUUUCAGUGGGGGAGAAAGCCUUGGGGCUAAUACCCUCGAGGAAGGACAUCACCCACAGAAGAAGCACCGGCUACACUCCGUGCCAGCAGCCGCGGUAAUACGGAGGGUGCGAGCGUUAAUCGGAAUUACUGGGCGUAAAGCGCGCGUAGGCGGUCUGAUAAGCCGGUUGUGAAAGCCCCGGGCUCAACCUGGGAACGGCAUCCGGAACUGUCAGGCUAGAGUGCAGGAGAGGAAGGUAGAAUUCCCGGUGUAGCGGUGAAAUGCGUAGAGAUCGGGAGGAAUACCAGUGGCGAAGGCGGCCUACUGGACUGACACUGACGCUGAGGUGCGAAAGCGUGGGUAGCAAACAGGAUUAGAUACCCUAGUAGUC
rnacentral:rRNA from 1 species